CCCAGGGCUCCACGUGCAGAUGCGGCCUCCAGGACCGUGCUGAACUCUGGGUUUUGCCUCAACCUCAACUUGCAGCCACCACCAGGAACCUGGAGAUAUCCACGCUGUCUUGCCCCACCCGUGAGCUUCUCUUCUUCUCCGGCUCAGAGGACGCCCCUGUUACUCCUUUGGCUUGGGGGAGCUCUUCACUCCGCACCCCGAUGCUUGUAUAAGAAAGCCCCGAGAUCCGGGCUGGGCCAAGCCGACCUCUUGCUUGGAUUUCCGUUUUUCUCUGUAGUCAGCUUUUCCAUCGCGGAGACACAGCGCCAACACCUGUGAGGUAAGGAGGAUUAACUGGGUCACGGUUUUGGGGGGAUCAG
rnacentral:lncRNA from 1 species